UACGUAGGUGGCAAGCGUUGUCCGGAAUUAUUGGGCGUAAAGCGCGCGCAGGUGGUUCCUUAAGUCUGAUGUGAAAGCCCACGGCUCAACCGUGGAGGGUCAUUGGAAACUGGGGAACUUGAGUGCAGAAGAGGAAAGUGGAAUUCCAAGUGUAGCGGUGAAAUGCGCAGAUAUCAGGAAGAACACCCGUGGCUAAGGCGGCUCUCUAGUACGGUACUGACGCUGAGGCACGAAGGCCAGGGGAGCAAACGGG
rnacentral:rRNA from 1 species